rnacentral:lncRNA from 1 species
UUUGGUUUUCAAAUGGGUUAAGUUUACUACUGUUUGGUUUUCUUCCCACUAUUUCUAUUUUAUAAGUUUCUUGAUGUAGGUACUUCCAUUUUAUUAAACUUGAUUUUAUGUAAAAUACAAGAAUAAUUUUACACCCAAAAAGUGAAAUCACUAUAAAGAAACUUACACUUUUAAACAUUAACCAGUCAUGAACUUUUUUGCCACAAAUGGCCACAAAACGAGCCCCCUUAUCUAUGAAAACGACCAAAUGGAUGGACCAAGACCAAACCAAUGGCCAAACUACCAAACAAAGGAUCAACAAAAAAAA